UGUGGGAGCUGGCUUGCCUGCGAUGCAAACAACUCGGUCUAUCAGUAGCACCGAGGCGAUACCAUCGCAGGCAAGCCAGCUCCCACA
rnacentral:ncRNA from 2 species